UUUCCGUAGGUGAACCUGCGGAAGGAUCAUUAUUGGAUUUUGAAACUUCAGGCUGCUGCUGGCUCUCCUCGGAGGGCAUGUGCACGCUUGUUGUCCAUUAUUUCUCCCACUGUGCACAAAUUGUAGACCUUUCAGUAGGCCUAUGUUGUUUUCCACAAUCUCUGAAUGUAAUAGAAUGGUUUUGAAUCUUGGGAAAUACAAUACAACUUUCAGCAACGGAUCUCUUGGCUCUC
rnacentral:misc_RNA from 1 species